UACGUAGGGCGCAAGCGUUGUCCGGAAUUAUUGGGCGUAAAGAGCUCGUAGGCGGUCUGUCGCGUCUGCCGUGAAAACCCGAGGCUUAACCUCGUGGCUUGCGGUGGAUACGGGCAGACUAGAGGUAGGUAGGGGAGAAUGGAAUUCCCGGUGUAGCGGUGAAAUGCGCAGAUAUCGGGAGGAACACCGGUGGCGAAGGCGGUUCUCUGGGCCUUACCUGACGCUGAGGAGCGAAAGCGGGGGGAGCAAACAGG
rnacentral:rRNA from 1 species